GCGGCUCAAGCCGAGUUCGUCCCGAUCCCGGGCCCGGGCUCGGUGGCCCCUGGCCGGCUCCGUCCGCCUGGGAGGGCCGUGUGCGGGCGGCGCGCUGCUCCGGCCCCCGGAGGGGGACAAGCUCACGGAGCAGGCACCCACAGCGCAGGUGACAGACACCUGGCACUGUUCCUCCGGCACCUGGUCCACGCCGUGCCCCCUGCGUCCCUGGGGCCCCACGGCCAUCCUCACGCAGGGACCCCUCUCCCCGGGUUCAAGGGCCGGCCAAGUCCCCACGGGACCCUGCCGCAGGAGAGCCCUGCACCUGCCUGCUCGCGGGCCGCAGGGUCGGUGGGCUCCCCACGGCGGGACGCGCGGGCUGCGCGCGGAGAAGGGGACAUCCCCGCCGAGCCGGCCACCCCGGGGCCCCUGGACUAGGGGGUGCCGUCGGGCGAGCUGCGCUGGCGCGGCACCCGAGGCACUCCGGUGUCAUCAUACCUCAAUGGGACACCAAGGUUUCUCUGUCAAAAAUGGUAAGAUAUCUUCUGUAUCUCACUCUCUUCAGGGUUUCUUGGAUGGCCACAGAGUAACCACAAAGGCUUAUCCCCUCCCCUUAUAAAAUAAACAAUGGUAAAGUAAUCACUAAAUUA